rnacentral:rRNA from 1 species
AAUUUUGGACAAUGGGGGAAACCCUGAUCCAGCCAUCCCGCGUGUAUGAUGAAGGCCUUCGGGUUGUACAGAACUUUUUGCAGAGAAGAAAAGGUACCUCCUAAUACGAGGUACUGCUGACGGUAUCUGCAGAAUAAGCACCGGCUAACUACGUGCCAGCAGCCGAGGUAAUCCGAAGGGUGCAAGCGUUAAUGGGAAUUACUGGGCGUAAAGCGUGUGUAGGCGGUUCGGAAAGAAAGAUGUGAAAUCACAGGGCUCAACCUUGGAACUGCAUUUUUAACUGCCGAGCUAGAGUAUGUCAGAGGGGGGUAGAAUUCCACGUGUAGCAGUGAAAUGCGUAGAUAUGUGGAGGAAUACCGAUGGCGAAGGCAGCCCCCUGGGAUAAUACUGACGCUCAGACACGAAAGCGUGGGGAGCAAACAG